CCCCAUUGUGGUUCUGAGAAAGUAGUUUAUAAAGCAGUUUCACACUGGUCAAAGUAAGCUGGGGGUGGGUAUUUAGUUUAGCACUGAAGGGUGAUGUAUAGAAAAGAGAUCAUAUGUUCCAGAAGAUCUGUCCCAAUGCAUAGUUCCUCAAAAACCUGGCAAUUCCCAUGUAAAACUAUGCAAGAGGAUUUUGGCAAAUUGUUUGGUUUGUAAUACUGAAAUGUGAGACCAUCAGGGCUAGGGCUUUUGCCCACCUUGAG